GACGAACGCUGGCGGCGUGCUUAACACAUGCAAGUCGAACGGAAAGGCCCUGCUUUUGUGGGGUGCUCGAGUGGCGAACGGGUGAGUAACACGUGAGUAACCUGCCCUUGACUUUGGGAUAACUUCAGGAAACUGGGGCUAAUACCGGAUAGGAGCUCCUGCUGCAUGGUGGGGGUUGGAAAGUUUCGGCGGUUGGGGAUGGACUCGCGGCUUAUCAGCUUGUUGGUGGGGUAGUGGCUUACCAAGGCUUUGACGGGUAGCCGGCCUGAGAGGGUGACCGGCCACAUUGGGACUGAGAUACGGCCCAGACUCCUACGGGAGGCAGCAGUGGGGAAUAUUGCACAAUGGGCGGAAGCCUGAUGCAGCAACGCCGCGUGCGGGAUGACGGCCUUCGGGUUGUAAACCGCUUUCGCCUGUGACGAAGCGUGAGUGACGGUAAUGGGUAAAGAAGCACCGGCUAACUACGUGCCAGCAGCCGCGGUGAUACGUAGGGUGCGAGCGUUGUCCGGAUUUAUUGGGCGUAAAGGGCUCGUAGGUGGUUGAUCGCGUCGGAAGUGUAAUCUUGGGGCUUAACCCUGAGCGUGCUUUCGAUACGGGCUGACUUGAGGAAGGUAGGGGAGAAUGGAAUUCCUGGUGGAGCGGUGGAAUGCGCAGAUAUCAGGAGGAACACCAGUGGCGAAGGCGGUUCUCUGGGCCUUUCCUGACGCUGAGGAGCGAAAGCGUGGGGAGCGAACAGGCUUAGAUACCCUGGUAGUCCACGCUGUAAACGGUGGGUACUAGGUGUGGGGUCCAUUCCACGGGUUCCGUGCCGUAGCUAACGCUUUAAGUACCCCGCCUGGGGAGUACGGCCGCAAGGCUAAAACUCAAAGGAAUCGACGGGGCCCCGCACAAGCGGCGGAGCAUGCGGAUUAAUUCGAUGCAACGCGUAGAACCUUACCUGGGUUUGACAUGGAUCGGGAGUGCUCAGAGAUGGGUGUGCCUCUUUUGGGGUCGGUUCACAGGUGGUGCAUGGCUGUCGUCAGCUCGUGUCGUGAGAUGUUGGGUUAAGUCCCGCAACGAGCGCAACCCUUGUUCACUGUUGCCAGCACGUUAUGGUGGGGACUCAGUGGAGACCGCCGGGGUCAACUCGGAGGAAGGUGGGGAUGACGUCAAGUCAUCAUGCCCCUUAUGUCCAGGGCUUCACGCAUGCUACAAUGGCUGGUACAGAGAGUGGCGAGCCUGUGAGGGUGAGCGAAUCUCGGAAAGCCGGUCUCAGUUCGGAUUGGGGUCUGCAACUCGACCUCAUGAAGUCGGAGUCGCUAGUAAUCGCAGAUCAGCAACGCUGCGGUGAAUACGUUCCCGGG
rnacentral:rRNA from 1 species